GAUGAACGCUGGCGGCGUGCCUAAUACAUGCAAGUCGAGCGAACGGACGAGAAGCUUGCUUCUCUGAUGUUAGCGGCGGACGGGUGAGUAACACGUGGAUAACCUACCUAUAAGACUGGGAUAACUUCGGGAAACCGGAGCUAAUACCGGAUGAUAUUUUGAACCGCAUGGUUCAAAAGUGAAAGACGGUCUUGCUGUCACUUAUAGAUGGAUCCGCGCUGCAUUAGCUAGUUGGUAAGGUAACGGCUUACCAAGGCAACGAUGCAUAGCCGACCUGAGAGGGUGAUCGGCCACACUGGAACUGAGACGCGGUCCAGACUCCUACGGGAGGCAGCAGUAGGGAAUCUUCCGCAAUGGGCGAAAGCCUGACGGAGCAACGCAGCGUGAGUGAUGAAGGUCUUCGGAUCGUAAAACUCUGUUAUUAGGGAAGAACAUAUGUGUAAGUAACUGUGCACAUCUUGACGGUACCUAAUCAGAAAGCCACGGCUAACUACGU
rnacentral:rRNA from 1 species